GAUGAACGCUGGCGGCGUGCCUAAUACAUGCAAGUCGAGCGAACAGACGAGGAGCUUGCUCCUCUGACGUUAGCGGCGGACGGGUGAGUAACACGUGGAUAACCUACCUAUAAGACUGGGAUAACUUCGGGAAACCGGAGCUAAUACCGGAUAAUAUAUUGAACCGCAUGGUUCAAUAGUGAAAGACGGUUUUGCUGUCACUUAUAGAUGGAUCCGCGCCGCAUUAGCUAGUUGGUAAGGUAACGGCUUACCAAGGCGACGAUGCGUAGCCGACCUGAGAGGGUGAUCGGCCACACUGGAACUGAGACACGGUCCAGACUCCUACGGGAGGCAGCAGUGGGGAAUCUUCCGCAAUGGGCGAAAGCCUGACGGAGCAACGCCGCGUGAGUGAUGAAGUUCUUCGGAUCGUAAAACUCUGUUAUUAGGGAAGAAAAAAUGUGGAAGAAAAUAUGCACGUCUUGACGGUACCUAAUCAGAAAGCCACGGCUAACUACGUG
rnacentral:rRNA from 1 species